CGGCGGACGGGUGAGUAACGCGCGGGCAACCUGCCCUCGAGUGGGGGAUAACCCCGGGAAACCGGGGCUAAUACCGCAUGAUGUUCCGGGUCCUGCGGGACCCGCAACCAAAGCCGGCCUCUGACACAAGCUGGCGCUCGAGGAGGGGCUCGCGUCCCAUUAGCUAGUUGGUGAGGUAACGGCCCACCAAGGCGACGAUGGGUAGCCGGCCUGAGAGGGUGGUCGGCCACACUGGAACUGAGACACGGUCCAGACUCCUACGGGAGGCAGCAGUGGGGAAUAUUGCGCAAUGGGCGAAAGCCUGACGCAGCGACGCCGCGUGGAGGAUGAAGGCCUUCGGGUUGUAAACUCCUGUCAGGUGAGAAGAAGGGGGCGACGGUGAACACCCGGCGCUCUUGACUGUAUCACCGGAGGAAGCCCCGGCUAACUCCGUGCCAGCAGCCGCGGUAAAACGGAGGGGGCAAGCGUUGCUCGGAAUCACUGGGCGUAAAGGGCAAGCAGGCGGCCCUGCAAGUCCGAUGUGAAAGCCCUCGGCUCAACCGAGGAACUGCAUCGGAAACUGCAGGGCUCGAGUCCGGGAGAGGUGGGCGGAAUUCCCGGUGUAGCGGUGAAAUGCGUUGAUAUCGGGAGGAACGCCGGUGGCGAAGGCGGCCCACUGGACCGGUACUGACGCUCAGAGGCGAAAGCUAGGGGAGCAAACGGGAUUAGAUACCCCGGUAGUCCUAGCUGUAAACGAUGGGCACUUGGUGUAGUGGGUACCGACCCCCGCUGCGCCGAAGCUAACGCGUUAAGUGCCCCGCCUGGGGAGUACGGUCGCAAGGCUGAACUCAAGGAAUUGACGGGGGCCCGCACAGCGGUGGAGCAUGUGGUUCAUUCG
rnacentral:rRNA from 1 species